rnacentral:ncRNA from 1 species
ACCGAUUUGGUCCUAGUCCUAUUCUUAAUUAUUUCUAGGAUGAUACAUGCAAGUAAAAAGCAAAACAGUGAGUUAACACAGGCCCGCCCCCAGAGGAAAUUAGCCUUAACAACAGCAUCAGGACUAAACCUUUAGACACCUAAGACGCUAAGAACCUAUACACCCCACCCCUGCAGUACUCAACAUUGUACAAUAAGCAAUAGCUUGAUACAGCCAUAGAAAAGAUUACCGGUAAAUUAUGUGCCAGCCACCGCGGUUAUACAUAAGGUCCUAGUUAAGAAUUAGCGGUAAAAAGGUGAUAAAACCAAACCUGGGGACAACACUAACUCUAGCAGUAAUAAGCUUACAGAACACUUAGAACAACAAAAACAUUAACCCCAGCUUUUAUAGACCAUCACUAAAGCUCAAAAAUAAACUGGGAUUAGAUACCCCACUAUAUGAGCCGUAAAAAACCACAACACCUGAGAACUACAAACUAAAGUUUAAAACUCAAAGGACUUGGCGGUUUUUUAGACCUUCCUGGAGGAGCUUGCCAUCUAACCGAUAACCCACGAAAUACCUCACCAGCCUUUGAACAUACAACCUGUAUACCAUCGUCGUCAGUCUACCCCCCAAGGGAAGUAUACUUAAAGAAGAAAUUAUUCAUUACGUUAGAUCGAGGUGCAGUUAAUAGGCUGGGGAUGAGUGAGCUACAACACUAUACCAAAUCAAAAACACAACUGUGGACAAUCCCUUGAAAGAGGGACUUUAAACAGGAUUCAGCAGUAAUGUUUAACAGAAAAUAAACAUGAAGCCCGUCUAAGCUCUAAAAUGCGCACACAUCGCCCGUCACUCUCGUCCAUAGAGGAGAAAAGUCGUAACAAAGUAGGCGUAUUGGAAAAUGCGCCUGGCACAAAU